rnacentral:rRNA from 1 species
UACAGAGGUCUCAAGCGUUGUUCGGAUUCAUUGGGCGUAAAGGGUGCGUAGGCGGCGCGGUAAGUCGGGUGUGAAAUCUCGGAGCUUAACUCCGAAACUGCAUUCGAUACUGCCCGUGCUUGAGGACUGGAGAGGAGACUGGAAUUUACGGUGUAGCGGUGAAAUGCGUAGAUAUCGUAAGGAAGACCAGUGGCGAAGGCGGGUCUCUGGACA